rnacentral:rRNA from 1 species
UACGUAGGGUGCGAGCGUUGUCCGGAAUUAUUGGGCGUAAAGAGCUCGUAGGCGGCUUGUCGCGUCGGAUGUGAAAGCCCGGGGCUUAACUCCGGGUCUGCAUUCGAUACGGGCAGGCUAGAGUUCGGUAGGGGAGAUCGGAAUUCCUGGUGUAGCGGUGGAAUGCGUAGAGAUCCGGAGGAAGACCGGUGGCGAAGGCGGCCUGCUGGGCAGUUACUGACACUGAGGCGCGACAGCGUGGGGAGCAAACAGG